AACGAACGCUGGCGGCGUGGCUAAGGCAUGCAAGUCGUACGGGGCUGGAUCGGUAGCAAUAUCGGUUCAGUUCAGUGGCGGACGGGUGAGUAAUACAUAGGUAACGUGCCUUGUGCUCGGGGAUACCGUCGGGCCCGCAAGGGUCCUUUGCGAAAGUGACGUUAAUACCUGAUGACGUCUUUGGGUCGCAUGGCUCGAAGACCAAAGGUGGGGACCGUAAGGCCUACCGGCACGAGAUCGGCCUAUGCCCUAUCAGCUUGUUGGUGAGGUAACGGCUUACCAAGGCUCUGACGGGUAGCCGGCGUGAGAGCGCGACCGGCCACAUCGGGACUGAGACACUGCCCCGGACACCUACGGGUGGCUGCAGCAACGAAUAUUCCGCAAUGGGCGCAAGCCUGACGGAGCGACGCCGCGUGGAGGAUGAAGUCCUCGGAUGUAACUACCAAUAGUUGUCCAGGAAGCAACCUAGGCCUAACUACGUCGGAAGUUGACCGAGCAGACGAAAGGGGCGGCGUAACG
rnacentral:rRNA from 1 species